rnacentral:rRNA from 1 species
AUUGAACGCUGGCGGCAGGCCUAACACAUGCAAGUCGAGCGGAUGAAGGGAGCUUGCUCCUGGAUUCAGCGGCGGACGGGUGAGUAAUGCCUAGGAAUCUGCCUGGUAGUGGGGGAUAACGUCCGGAAACGGGCGCUAAUACCGCAUACGUCCUGAGGGAGAAAGUGGGGGAUCUUCGGACCUCACGCUAUCAGAUGAGCCUAGGUCGGAUUAGCUAGUUGGUGGGUAAAGGCCUACCAAGGCGACGAUCCGUAACUGGUCUGAGAGGAUGAUCAGUCACACUGGAACUGAGACACGGUCCAGACUCCUACGGGAGGCAGCAGUGGGGAAUAUUGGACAAUGGGCGAAAGCCUGAUCCAGCCAUGCCGCGUGUGUGAAGAAGGUCUUCGGAUUGUAAAGCACUUUAAGUUGGGAGGAAGGGCAGUAAGUUAAUACCUUGCUGUUUUGACGUUACCAACAGAAUAAGCACCGGCUGACUUCGUG